GGAAGUAAAAGUCGUAACAAAGUUUCCGUAGGUGAACCUGCGGAAGGAUCAUUCAUAAUAAAGUGUUUUAUGGCACUUUUUAAAAAUCCAUAUCCACCUUGUGUGCAAUGUUAGAUCUCGUCAAUCUUGGCGAGAUUUUUAUACAUCAACUCAUUCUUUAACUAAUUUGUCUGAAAAAUAUUAUGAAUACUUAAUUCAAAAUACAACUUUCAACAACGGAUCUCUUGGCUCUC
rnacentral:misc_RNA from 1 species